UAAAGCGUAUGACUGUUAAUCAUAAGGUCGAGAGUUCGAGUCUCUCUGG
rnacentral:tRNA from 1 species